rnacentral:snRNA from 1 species
ACACUUACCUGGCAGGGGAACAUACCAUGAUCACAAAGGUGGUUUUCCCAGGGCAAGGCUGAUCCAUUGCACUCCGGAUGUGCUGACCCCUGCAAUUUCCCCAAAUGUGGGAAACUCUACUGCAUAAUUUGUGGUAGUGGGGGACUGGUGUUUGCGCUCUCCCCUG